GGGGCCUCACAGCGAUUAGAGCACGUGGGCCGUUAGAUCUUUCCAUCAGUGCAUCUUGUCCGUCCAAUUCUUUUGACUGCACAGUAUAAAAGGAGGAGCCACAGUUGAAAACCCUAGCCGCCGGAAGCCAAUCGUCGUGCAUGCUGCUCUCCUCACCAAUCCCCUCGAUUGGCUCCUCCUCCAAUCCCCUCCAUCUUCGCCUUUCUCCUCCAACCUCUCCCAUCCUUCCGCCUUCUCUGGUCGUCCUCAUACCGUGCCACACCAAGAGAGCAGCGGGUGGUGGCCGGCGGGAGAAGUGCAGCCGCCGCGCAUCAUGCCAUCGCCGGACGAGCAGGUGGUGGCCGGCGGGAGCAGCGCCACCGUCGCUGGACGAGCAGGUGGUGGCCGGCGGGAGCAGCGUCGCAGCCACGCGCCAUGCCGUCGCUGGGAGGAGCUGGUGCGCCUCGUGCUGUCACACAGAAGAGAUUUGGGGUCACCUUGGUGGUGCUCAGCAGCAGACACCGGUGAGAACUAGGAGGAGUAAGAGGACGGAAAGAAAAAAUAUGGAGCAGCAAGACUACAAAAGUGGAGUAGGCAGAGAUGUGGAGGAGCCAGAAACAUUGUGGUUUGGUUCUUUCUUAUGAGGUCCCUCUCACAAGGAAAUUAGGGGCACUUUUUAAGUACAUCGUGUGAUUGUUGGCAUGGAAAACCAGCGACCAAAGCACAUUUCUUGAGGUGAUGCUCCAAUAUCAUGGCAAGUGAGAACCAGAGGGGAAGAGGAAGAUGCAUAGAGGGAGAUUGAAAGGAGGAGAAUAUAGUCCAAGCGAGAAGGAAGAUGAGACCUGCUGUGGCACGGAGCAUCACCGGCCGAUGAUUGUGAUAAGAGAAUCACACCCAGAUAAUAGCCUCCAUCUGCAGUAAGCUCAUUCCAUUCGGCUCCUAAGUUGUCUACUUAGUUUCUUAUUUAUUCCACAUGUAGCAAAUUGGUAGAAAGUUUGGUUCAUGAUUUAUGUGAGCUGCAAAGAUAACAUCACUGUUCAUUUUUUAUUCGUUGCUUACGCUAAGGGAGAUAACCAUAUAAAGGCAAACUGGGUGUCUAUUGGCUGAGUAAAAUCCAGCUUACUUAGGUAUUGCUGCGUUGCCACACAUAUUUACAUCUCACCAUACUCUGGCCACUGACUCGAAGCAGCUAUUAUUCUUCGUGGUGAAAUAGUCUUUGAUAAAUGCAGUGAACAACCUAUUGUGUUAUUUCAAAUACCAUUUUGUGUACUCAAUCAGGAACAAUUAUACUGUCUCUUAUCUCUUCCCGUAUUCACAUGCAUCAGAAUAGCAGUUUAUUCCUUUUCUUAGUGGAAUGGUUUGUAGUUACUAAUUUCUUCCUGCAGUCCAUGGAACAUUUCAAAGAUGGUUACUGGUUUUUCUGGUUUUACUCACCGAUCUUCCCUGGAUGCUAAAUCAGGGCUUGCUUAUUUUAAUUCCCAUUUCUUUUGAGAAAUAUCAUAACAUCGUUAUUUGUAAGAAUUUGUAGUCGGCAAUUGUCAAUUGCUUGAUAUUCCAACAUACUAUUACACAAAUACUGAAAUUAUAUUGGUUUAUCAAUAUAAGCUCUUUGUUUUCUUUAGUUUUACCUUAAUAUGCUAUGAAAAUACGAAUCAAGAAUGUAGCUUGUUUCUCGAUGAACUGAUUAGAGUAACUAUUGUAAAAAGGGUCGUUCACUGCAAUUGUCAUCACUCGCUUACACUAUAUCAGCCGAGUGACCUGGCCAGAUUUGAAAAUAUAAUUAUGUGCUUAGCUAGACAAGUUUAAUAUUUAUAUUCUCAGGUUUUUGGCAGUGCCUUAUUUGGUUCUUCUCAGUUGAACUGAUUAACAUGAGCUUUGGUUAAGCGAAUUUCUGUCAUGGCUGCUAAGAGCUGGAGCGGGCUGGAUCUGGAGCAGAGCGUAGUAUCAUAAGUAUCCAUGAUUCCCCUCUUCCAAAAUCGUUUUAGAUUCCGUUUCAUGGCUUAUUGAUUUAUAUUUAUGUGCUUAUUUGUGUAAGGAGCUGCAGUUGACACAUGCAUCGUUUUAGAUUCUGUUUGCUGGUGAUCAAUGAUAGUCACUAAUUAAUAACUACAUUUUUUUGACAUAUUCACCUUUGUAAAUAGUUAUGCCUUUAUUUUAUUAAUGAAUCAUAUAUUGGAGAUGGUGGAUCAAAGUAGUACAUAAUACUUUUUUUACUAUGGAAUAUGGAAUUGUUCUGCCAUAUGUAUGUUAAUAUUGUGCAGAGGAUGUCGUGAGCCACUGCUGGUUUCCAAUAUACAACAAUUCUAAACCCCAUCUGAAUAUCUUAUUCUCUUGAUUUAUUAGUUUCCACGGCAGUAAAGAUUCAGUUUCUUUCGCUUCUCUUCUUUCUUAGAUUUCAUGAAUCGGUACUACUUAUUGGACUGUUAGUGACUUGACUUGACUUUACUAAUUUGUUUUCAUCUUAGGAUGACCGCCCAUAGGUCACAUUUGGUAUUAUAAGGUGUGCACCUUCCCGAUGAAUCAUAAGAUAAAAAAUUCUUCAGAUUUUGGGGAUUGUAAAUUCCCGACGUACCAAGAACAAUAGCAGGGAGUGACAUUGCUAAAAAAAAGCCGUGCCUUGAAGUUCCAAAAUAUAGUGGUUUACAAGAGGAUCUAUGUGGUACAUGCGGCCGUUCUUGUGGAUACAGAUUGAAGAAGUUUAUACUAUAUAGCUUGGAUUGGAGCCUUGCCGCCGCUCGCGCCGCCGCAGCACACCUUGGGGUGAGAUGGCAGGGGCCUCUCCAUCCUCCUCGCUCCUUGAAGGAAGUCUGGCAUACGAGAGCAUCUACUCCCGGGUGGAGAGAAGGACGGCGCGCUCUGUGCACUAUAUGCCUGGCCAUCGCAGAGCCCUUCUUUCAAGGCCACGAGUGCUGCUUUCCUCCGCCAUCAAUCUGCUCUUUCUGUGCUCCCACGCUGGAUUGGAAGAAAAUUGAUGAGCAACCAGAGUCGCUUUGGUGGUCUGAAUGUCUGAUAAUGGAUAUGAUCUUCAGUUGAAGCCUGGUUGACUAUGCUCGACCUAGCAGGGAGGAGGAACCCAUGGCAUGAUUGAAGAAGAUGAGGAUCCGAAAUUGCAGAGAUGAUGUCUCAAGGAAUGAGCACUAUUUUUGGUUAUCAGGCUGAUUGAUCUUUGGUUAUUGCUAAUUUUUGGCGUAGCAAAUCAUGCUUCUCCGUACAAGUGGGUAGAGGCAUGAAGGCAAAACAACAAAAGGAAAUGGUAUGUUCUCAGGAUAUGGUGUAGCAAAUCAUGCUUCUACUGAUGCAAGAAAUAACUAUUUGAUUACUAAACUAGGCCCCUUGUGUGAUAUUUGGUCAUGUUCUAGACCAGAGUAUCUUUAUAUUAAUUCAAAGACGUACAAUUUACGUAGAAAUGACAUGUUAGUCCAAUCUCGAAGGCUGCGGUUGCAGAGAACGAGUUAUGUUGAUAUACGAAAUCUGGGGCAUUUGCUUAUCGUGGCACCUUUAACCACAUAUUCUUCUUAUCUUUUCAGUUCUUUUAGGGUAGAAUGUUGAAGUUCAGUAUUCACUUGUGCUCAUCUUCCAUGCCGAUACAACAUGGCUAGCGAUCUUAGGGACGAUUUGGAGAAACCGAGUACCUCAUGCUAAAAUUCAGUCUCUUAUAUUUCUUUCAACCGGAACAUGAUCUCAAGGCACCAGGUAGUCCACAAGCGAAACAAUUCAUGUGGUGUCUUUCUCAUAACAGCCUCCCACAUCGCUGCAUUAUUCUGAGGAGAGGCAUUGAGAUUGAUACUUUAUGCCCCAUGUGCUCUAGAUUUAAUGAAGAUGGUGGCCAUCUAUUUCAGAAGUGCAAGCCUCCGUGUGCAUUGUGGAGGAUCUGAAGCUUGAACCCAUCAGAGCUAAGUUGGCCUCUUGUCUUGAUGCCAAAGAUGUCAUUGCAUAGAUACUAGGUGCCAAUGAACAGGAGAAGAUGAGAUGUGUUGACCUGCUUUCGGUCUGGUGGCGUGUGAGGAACAAAUGCAAUGUUGCUGAGUCUACGUCCUUGUCAGAUUCAGUUUGUCAUGUCUCUAAUUGCUGAGUUUGAACAACAGUGAAGAAAGAUAAAGAAGAAAGGGCAACCUGCUAUGAGAUCAAGUGGAAGUCAUCGGUGCACGAUGUUCUGAAGAUAAAUAUUGAUGGGAGCAUGGACCCAGCCAAUGCGUCUGGUGGCUGGGGUUUGGUGUUUAGAGAUGAGCUCGGAGUUGUAGCCGGUUUAGGUGCUAGCCAUAUGGAGCAUCUGCAGGAUGUUCUCCACAGUGAGGCAGAGGCCUACCUGCAAUCACUGUUUCAGGCUCAAAUAUGGUGUAUUUCUCGGGUUCACGUUGAACUGACUCACAACUUCUGGUGCAACCGAUCAAGGGAAGCGAGCAACGGUGCUAUUUUAGGGAUAUUAAAUUUCAGAUUUCGUUGAACUUCUCUGUUUUCAGUAUUUUGUAAUGCACGCCCUCGGGCCUGUAAUAAAGUGGCGGACGCUAUGGUGACGCACGGCGGUGAGAUUAGGGCUCAGCCCCCCAUCCUUUUGGCCGGGUUGUGUCCCUGGCUUCAUGUCUGAUUAGGUACCCUGAGGGACUGGCGGUGACCGCUCGGAAAGCGACAGAUUGAUAUAAGACAAAUGAUAUGUUAUGUUAUUUUC